rnacentral:rRNA from 1 species
UGUCGUCAGCUCGUGUUGUGAAAUGUUGGGUUAAGUCCCGCAACGAGCGCAACCCUUAUCCUUUGUUGCCAGCGGUCCGGCCGGGAACUCAAAGGAGACUGCCAGUGAUAAACUGGAGGAAGGUGGGGAUGACGUCAAGUCAUCAUGGCCCUUACGACCAGGGCUACACACGUGCUACAAUGGCGCAUACAAAGAGAAGCGACCUCGCGAGAGCAAGCGGACCUCAUAAAGUGCGUCGUAGUCCGGAUUGGAGUCUGCAACUCGACUCCAUGAAGUCGGAAUCGCUAGUAAUCGUGGAUCAGAAUGCCACGGUGAAUACGUUCCCGGGCCUUGUACACACCGCCCGUCACACCAUGGGAGUGGGUUGCAAAAGAAGUAGGUAGCUUAACCUUCGGGAGGGCGCUUACCACUUUGUGAUUCAUGACUGGGGUGAAGUC